rnacentral:snRNA from 1 species
AAAAGUACCUGGCAGAAGAGAUACCAUGAACAACAAGGUGGUUCUUCCAGGGUCAGACCUGUCCUUUGCAUUCUGGGCAGGCUGACCCCUGCAAGUUUCUGAAUGUGGAAAACUUGACUGCACAAUUCUGUGGCAGUGAGGGACUGUGCUAAUGGUUCCCCCA